rnacentral:lncRNA from 1 species
AGAUCCUUUAGCUUCUGGCAAAGAUCUAAGCGCAGAGCAUAUAGCUGUACACAUUUGGUUAUUUGAUUGUAUAAUAAUCAUGUAAACCAUGAAAAAGAACAACGAAUCAAUGCAACCUUCUUAUUUCCUAUCACAUGUCCAGAAUCGCAAUGCACAAACACAUUCUCACACAAGUCAUCUAGUGCUACAAUUGUGAACUAAUAACUAAAAAUAAAAUGUAUGAACGCUUUCCAGGAAGAGGAACCCAACCAAUGAAAUGCUCAAAAGAGACCUACACACAUAGCCACAAAAACCUAACACCUGUUAGUAUACCCUGCUCUCUCCAGAGUCUCGACAACCUGAUGUGAGUACGAGAUGUACGCCACUCCCGCUCCCCGUCACGACGACGACAGGGACGAGAGGUCCUCGAACACCGUCCUUAUCUCCGGCCUCUCCGAUGCAGACCGGAUACACCGGAUGGCGAUGUGCAGCAUGUCCUCCAACUUGUUGGAUGCGCCCCCUGAGCUUUCAGUUUCAACAAUGCGCUCGUCGAAGCACUGCGAAGCUCGCUCCUCCCUUGCCAGCAUCCUCACCCAGUCCGUCAGGUCGACCGCGCCAUCGCUCACACAAAUGAUCUCCCCCGCGAUCCUCCCUGUCAGAAGCUCAAGCAGGAUGACGCCGAAGGCAUACACGUCGCUCUUGAGAGACGGACAUGGCUUGCUGGUGCUCGCAAACUCUGGAGGGGAGUACCCAAGAGCUCCUGCAUUCAGGACCUGCUCGGCCAUGCCCACCGGAGUCAUCAGCCUGUGAAGGCUGUAGUCAGUUACCAGAGCAGACGGGCUCGAGUCCUGAAGCAGGACGUUGGACGACUUGAGGUUGCCAUGUGGGAUCACCCGCUCAUUGUGCAGGUAAUCUAGACAGUGGGCAAUGCUGACGGCGAUAUCAAGCCGCUGGCCCACGGAGAGAGGUGCAAGAUCCCGCUCUUCAAUCUCUGAAAGAUGAGAGAAAAGAAAUGCAUCAGAAUACAUACAAAUCAGCCGACGCUAGAAUCUGAUGGAGAGAGAGCUGAGAACCAUUACCAGACAGGUAGGUAGACAGAGAUGUGGCAUCUACAUAGUCUGAUAUGAUGAUCCUCUCGUGCUCUUUGGGGCCCCAGUAGUAGCCUCGAAGUGAGACAAGACUGGGAUGUUUGAC